GAUGAACGCUGGCGGCGUGCUUAGCACAUGCAAGUCGAACGGUGAAGGUGGGAGCUUGCUCCUACUGGAUCAGUGGCGAACGGGUGAGUAACACGUGAGCAAUCUGCCCCGAACUCUGGGAUAAGCGCUGGAAACGGCGUCUAAUACCGGAUACGACGCGCGAGGGCAUCCUCUGCGCGUGGAAAGAAUUUCGGUUCGGGAUGAGCUCGCGGCCUAUCAGCUUGUUGGUGAGGUGAUGGCUCACCAAGGCGACGACGGGUAGCCGGCCUGAGAGGGUGACCGGCCACACUGGGACUGAGACACGGCCCAGACUCCUACGGGAGGCAGCAGUGGGGAAUAUUGCACAAUGGGCGCAAGCCUGAUGCAGCAACGCCGCGUGAGGGACGACGGCCUUCGGGUUGUAAACCUCUUUUAGUAGGGAAGAAGCGAAAGUGACGGUACCUGCAGAAAAAGCACCGGCUAACUACGUGCCAGCCGCCGCCGUAAGAC
rnacentral:rRNA from 1 species